CAGGCAAGUAGCAAUGGCUGAUUUGAUGCUUGUCAAUAAAAUUGACUUGGUGUCACCCGAGGAGAUUGCAAGUUUAACAAAACAUAUACGAACCAUUAACAGUUUUGCUGGGCUGGUUGAAACACACAAAUCAAAGGUCAACUUAGACGACCUUCUUGAUCUACAUGCAUUUGAUACAAUGGGCCGAAAGAG